rnacentral:rRNA from 1 species
UACGAAGGGGGCUAGCGUUGCUCGGAAUCACUGGGCGUAAAGGGCGUGUAGGCGGUUGGUCAAGUCCGAUGUGAAAGCCCGGGGCUCAGCUUCGGAAGUGCAUCGGAAACUAGCCAGCUGGAGCGCGAUAGAGGAGGGCGGAAUUCCUGGUGUAGCGGUGAAAUGCGUAGAUAUCAGGAGGAACACCGGCGGCGAAGGCGGCCCUCUGGAUCGUUGCUGACGCUGAGACGCGAAAGCGUGGGGAGCAAACAGG